rnacentral:misc_RNA from 1 species
AGCAGCCGCGGUAAUUCCAGCUCCAAUAGCGUAUAUUAAAGUUGUUGCAGUUAAAAAGCUCGUAGUUGAAUUUCGGGAUCAAUUGAUCGGUCGUGCCACUGGUACGCACUGGUUUUAUUGGUUUUCCCUUCUGACGAACCAGGAUGUCAUUAAUUUGGUGUCUUGGAGAAUCAGGACUGUUACUUUGAAAAAUUAGAGUGUUUAAAGCAGGCUAACGCUUGAAUACAUUAGCAUGGAAUAAUGAAAUAGGACGUUUGAUCCUAUUUUGUGGUUUCUAGGAUCGAC